CAUAUUUACAUAGUUACAUAGCUGAAAAGAGACUUGUGUCCAUCAAGUUCAGCCUUCCUCACAUUUGUUUUUUGCUGUUGAUCCAAAAGAAGGCAAAAAAACCCAGUUUGAAGCACAAUUUUGCAACAAGCUAGGAAAAAAAAUUCCUUCUUGACCCCAGAAUGGCAGUCAGAUUUAUCCUUGGAUCAAGCAGUUAUUACCCUACAUUGAAAG